GAUGAACGCUAGCGGGAGGCUUAACACAUGCAAGUCGAGGGGCAGCAUAGGGUAGCAAUACUCUGAUGGCGACCGGCAAACGGGUGAGUAACGCGUAUGCAACCUACCCUGUACAGGGGGAUAACCCGGAGAAAUUCGGACUAAUAUCCCGUAAUAAUAUCCGGAGGCAUCUUUGGAUAUUUAAAGUUCCGACGGUACGGGAUGGGCAUGCGUAACAUUAGCUGGUUGGUAAGGUAACGGCUUACCAAGGCUAUGAUGUUUAGGGGUCCUGAGAGGGUGGUCCCCCACACUGGUACUGAGACACGGACCAGACUCCUACGGGAGGCAGCAGUGAGGAAUAUUGGUCAAUGGGCGCAAGCCUGAACCAGCCAUCCCGCGUGCAGGAAGACGACCCUAAUGGGUUGUAAACUGCUUUUCCAGGGAGAGAAACUUACGCACGUGUUGCGUGACUGACGGUACCCUGGGAAUAAGCAUCGGCUAACUCCGUG
rnacentral:rRNA from 1 species